GCCCGAAUGGCGGAAUUGGUAGACGCGACGGACUCAAAAUCCGUUGGCAGCGAUGUCGUGGGGGUUCGAGUCCCUCUUCGGGCA
rnacentral:tRNA from 3 species